GACGUAGGAUGCAAGCGUUGUCCGGAAUUAUUGGGCGUAAAGAGUUCGUAGGCGGUUAUCUAAGUCUGGUGUUAAAGCCCGAAGCUCAACUUCGGCAUGGCAUUGGAAACUGGGUAGCUAGAGUGUGGUAGAGGUAUCGGGAAUUCCUGGUGUAGCGGUGAAAUGCGUAGAUAUCAGGAGGAACACCCGUGGCGAAGGCGGCUCUCUGGUCCGAAACUGACGCUGAGGUGCGAAAGCUAGGGUAGCAAACAGG
rnacentral:rRNA from 1 species